CUCCUACCUAGACAAAUGGGUAAUACAAGGCCAUUUCAGAGAGAAGGUGGAUUUUCAUGUCUAACUAGCCAAAUCCACAUUUCAGAGACUGGGAUUUCUCUUCAAUGUGUGCAGGUCCACUCUAUCUUUGACUCGGAGAAUAGAGUUCAUAGAGGCAGUGUUGGACUCGGCACAAGCCAAAGCAUUCCUUCAAGAGAUGUGAUUUCGGGCCAUAGUAGGCAUCAUUCAAAGCCUCAUGCUACAUCUGAUUACAAUGAAAAUGGAAUAAUCAAAUCAGAUAAAGUAUUUGAAGUAAUGUUGGCUACAGACCGUUGCCACUAUGCAAAAUGCAACCCUUAUAUGGACUCUCCUCAAGCAAUAGGUUUCCAAGCAACUAUCAGUGCUCCACACAUGCAUGCAUAUGCUCUAGAACUACUAUACGAACAGUUACAUGAAGGAGCCAAAGCCCUUGAUGUAGGAUCUGGAAGUGGUAUUCUUACAGCUUGUUUUUCACGAAUGGUCGGUCCCCAAGGACAAGUUGUAGGAAUUGAUCAUAUCAAAGAGUUAGUAGAUGACUCGAUAAAUAAUGUCAAAAAGGAUGAUCCUACAUUGCUGUCUUCAGGAAGAGUGAAACUAAUUGUGGGAGAUGGAAGAAUGGGCUAUCCAGAAGAAGCUCCCUAUGAUGCUAUUCAUGUAGGAGCUGCAGCACCAGUUGUGCCCCAAGCACUCAUAGACCAAUUAAAACCUGGUGGAAGAUUGAUAUUACCAGUCGGCCCAGCAGGUGGAAACCAGAUGCUGGAACAAUAUGAUAAACUAGAAGAUGGCAGUGUCAAAAUGAAGCCUCUGAUGGGAGUGAUAUACGUGCCUUUAACAGAUAAAGAGAAGCAAUGGUCCAGGUGGAAGUGAUUUUCUGUUCCACUUUCUUCUUCCACACAUACACGCAUACAAGGUGAAAGGGAUGAAUUGUAAAAGCUACAUCAUCUUGAUCCAAACAUAGUGUUACAGUGGACUGCCCAUCUCCAGUUCUAAUAGCUUUUUGAAAACCAACAGCAUUGCAGCUUGUUUUGGAUUUUGUUUUACUGUUAUCAGCAUGGAAAAGCGUGGUGUCUUUAUUUUACUUUUUUAGAGGCUUGUGGCAAAUCUGGUAAAGAAAUGAUGGAAAGUUUAAAUUUGGGCUGUUUCUUUUUAACAUGCCUUUUUUUUUUACUUUCAUCUGGUUAAAGAAAUGAAUUUCUGCAAAAAUGCAAAGACCUACUGUUUGUGAACUCUUUAAUUUUGAUAGCGGGUACUUUUUGAACACUUUAUUUCAGCUCCAUUGUUUCUUGGUAAAAUUGCUUCUGUGCACCUUAUAACACUACAUGCACAAUGGCAGGUUCUCUAUGUUCAGAUGUCUGCUAGAUGUUACUAAGAAAAUGAGAUGAAGUUCCUUUUUAAAGCUUUUGACACGGUGUCACAGACUAGCAUGUAGUAGAUACAAUCAGCUGCUUUAUUACCUUAAGUGGGCAUUUGUGAACUUAAACUUCAAGACAUCAGAGGUGACAGCUCUUGUUAUAAACUCUGUUGUUCAGGUUGGACAUAACUGACAUAGUUUUUUUUCCAUCUGAUAAGAAACUUGUAGCUGUGUUAUUUUGUAGCUCACUGCUGAUUAUAUAAUUUAACAUAACACAUACUGUGUAAGCUAUGUCCUAAUCACUGAACAGUUUAUGCAGUGCUGCUUUGCCAAAUAAAGUUAAAAGCAAAAAAGUUUUUGUGUGCUUCUUGUAUGGAAUAUCAGAAUAAGUAUGUCAAGUAUAACUGCUUGGAAUGCAGAACACUGUACUCCAAUAAAAGUAACAUCCAUUUAGUUUAAAAAUUAGUUGCUUUACACAAAAUCUUUAUGGUUUUAUAAACUACUUCCGAAUACGGGCAGUGAUGGAAAAAUGUUGGGUUAAAAUUUUAGAUUAACUUAAAUUUUUAUAGAAGAGAAAGCUGAUAAAUCCCAAAACAAUGGCCAAAUAAAUAUGUAGUGUGUACACUACACUACAAAUAUCCAUUUUAGAGUAAUUGAAAGACUUUUAUUAACAUUCUUGAGGCCCAGGUUUUAUGUUCUGUUUACUGCAGUUAAUAACAUCAGGAAAAUCCAAAGUAAGUUUAAAAACUAUAUAGCUCUUGGAUUGCUUUAGGGUGCAUGUGUUCUUCCUGCAACUCCUGAUCACUAGCGCCUGAGUGAUAAAAUAUAUAUUGAGCUCUUUUGCCUUUAUUACAAAAAAGCAGAGUGAGAUGAAUAAGAACCUGUGUGAUUUGGUUCAAAGGGGCCAUUGUUUCUUUUUGAAAAGUAUUCAGCCUGCCUGUGUUAAAACAGUCUUUUUUCUGUGAUGGAAUUAAUCAUUAAACGUAUGAAGGGUAUUGUUGAAAGGCUUCUGAAAUACGAAAGAACAAGUAAAUUACCUUCAUGCAAACGUCAGUCCCAUUCUAUUCCUUGGUAAAAUAUAUUUGUUGUAUCAUUUAUUUAAAAACUUAGGAGGUUAAUAUCACCUCCCCUUGAUAAUUGAAUUGAUGUUUGGAAGCACAUACUCAACAAUCAUUCCGUAAGCAGACUAAUGUCAAAUUAAGGAAGUCAGUUAAUUACUGGGUACUUGUUGUAGUAACUACAAUGAAAAAAAUUGUUUUGCAUUGAAUGCCAAAUUUGUGCUAGUUGACAAUCAACUGUGAUUCUAUUCUUAGUGUUAAAGUGAUAUUUGAAAUGAUACAUGCAGAAGGAUAAAAUAGCUAAACAUAACACGAGCUUAACCCUAAUAUUUAACAUUUUGGUCACUGUCAUUCUUAAUUAAGUUCUCAACUUUGUCUCUUACUAAUUUAAUCUGUUAAAUGAAGAGUAAGAUCUGAAAUGUAUCCAAAUUCUUCUCUCCAGAUGAAAUGUAACAAGGUAGCCUAUGUUGGAUGAUGUGGUAGAUAUGAUCUGAAAUUUUCUGUGUAUGAGAUGCACAUGGCAGGAGCUACAAAAUUUCUUGGACUAAGGCUGUUGGAGUAAUAUGCCUGUUGGACAGGAAGGGUUGAUGCUUUCAACAUUACUUUCAUAUAAAUAUAAGCAUAAUAUUAAGAGUCUGAAAGUUGAGAUUCCUCUGUGGGGAUUGAAGCAAUGAUUCUUGUCUAAAGGCUUCUUGGAAAAGAGAAGCUGUAAUGCAUAGGAUUUGAAGAGCUUGAAUAAAUGUGGUGUAAACUCUCUGAAUUGCUACUUUGCCAAAUAAAAUUAAGAGUGAGAGGAA